GAGUUUGAUCCUGGCUCAGGAUGAACGCUAGCGGCAGGCUUAAUACAUGCAAGUCGAGGGGCAGCAGCUUUAUAGCAAUAUAGAGGCUGGCGACCGGCAAACGGGUGCGGAACACGUACACAACCUUCCUUGAAUAGGGGGAUAGCCCAUAGAAAUGUGGAUUAAUACCCCGUAAUAUAGCGGUGUGGCAUCACACUGUUAUUAUAGUUUYGGCGAUUCGAGAUGGGUGUGCGGCUGAUUAGGUAGUUGGCGGGGUAAAGGCCCACCAAGCCUUCGAUCAGUAGCUGAUGUGAGAGCAUGAUCAGCCACACGGGCACUGAGACACGGGCCCGACUCCUACGGGAGGCAGCAGUAAGGAAUAUUGGUCAAUGGACGCAAGUCUGAACCAGCCAUGCCGCGUGAAGGAUGAAGGUCCUCUGGAUUGUAAACUUCUUUUAUAGGGGGCGAAAAAAGGUCUUCUAGAUCACUGACAGUACCGUA
rnacentral:rRNA from 1 species